AUUGAACGCUGGCGGUAGGCCUAACACAUGCAAGUCGAACGCGAAAGUCCUUCGGGAUGAGUAGAGUGGCGGACGGGUGAGUAACGCGUAGGAAUCUAUCCUGUAGUGGGGGAUAACGUUUCGAAGGGAACGCUAAUACCGCAUACGCCCCAAGGGGGAAAGCGGGGGAUCUUCGGACCUCGUGCUAUAGGAGGAGCCUGCGACGGAUUAGCUAGUUGGUGAGGUAAAGGCUCACCAAGGCGACGAUCCGUAGCUGGUCUGAGAGGAUGGUCAGCCACACCGGAACUGAGACACGGUCCGGACUCCUACGGGAGGCAGCAGUGGGGAAUAUUGCGCAAUGGGCGAAAGCCUGACGCAGCCAUACCGCGUGUGUGAAGAAGGCCUUCGGGUUGUAAAGCACUUUCAGUGGGGAGGAAAAGCUGGUGGCUAAUAUCCAUCGGCCGUGACGCUACCCACAGAAGAAGCACCGGCUAAUUCCGUGCCAGCCGCCGCAGUAACAC
rnacentral:rRNA from 1 species